CUCAUGGCAGGGGGUGCUCAUGAUCCGAGACAUUGGUUUUGUGACUCCACAACUGCAGAGUAAGUAAUAGCGAGCUAGCUAGACAGUAAAAAAGUACAGUGAUAUAUUUAAUGUUUUCUCCUCUCUUCUGAUGUCAACAUGGAUGACUACAUUAUUACACUUAAACAGUUUUCUAAAGUGGAUUUUCAAUUGAAGCAUGAAAUAAUAACUAAAGGAAGAUCAACACCAGAGCUGAAGGUUUGCUUCACACUUACAGACAAAAGGGUACUCCCUCUUUUCAAAUGGAAAGAAAAGACAGGCUUUGUGGAUGUCCUGCUAAAAACUGCCUUUCCUGCUUUCUCUGCCAUCUUUUCUCAACUUGUGGCACUGUGUGGAUUUAGAUGGGAUUUUGUAACCUAAAUAAUUUACUAAGAAGCCCGACCAAACACGAGCGAUCUACUACUCGUAUUCAAAGCCAGAUCGCAUUAAAACCGUUUGGGAUGUCAAGGAUAGACUUGGCUUUUAAUGAAGGGAUAUUUUUGUGCACAAUGAGCGGCGCACAGACUUCAUUUAUAAGUAAAGAUAAGACAGCAGUAAAAAAAUGUGUUUAGUUUUCUAAUGAAAUGUGCGUUUUGUGAGCUACAGUGUGUAUGAGUAAAGAACACAGAAAAAUAACCCACAAACUAGAUUAGCUCAAGCAGCGAUAGCUAAUCUACGACAGUGGUCACUUAUUAAUAAUCACAAAAUAAACAUUAAGCCUAAAACCAUAGCACUGCAACAGACUGAAUGUAAAGUGUUUUGUGUGGGAAAUAUUUGAGAGUUUUUUGGUGUUGAAUCCUGAAACAAAGUGCCAUUGUUGUCAGUUGCUAUGGCAAAAAGUCUGUGUGUAGCUUGGCCAAUACAGAGGGCGACAAAGAAGUGGUUUUGAGUUGCACUUCAACGGUUUUUCCCUUUGCUGUGGAGCAUAGCACUAAAUUAAUAAUACCUACAUUUCCAAAUUUCUUUGAGUUAAUGGAAUUAUUCUACCGUGUCAGCGCGGCUAUGGAUGGCAUGUAAAAGAAUAGUCUUAAUAGGUGGUGAAAUAAAUUUGUGGUACAACCUUUUGUGGCAAUAGUUUUAUAACAUGUUUCACAAAUUACCUCAUUUUGUUUGAUAUCCUCCAUAUAAAAUCCAAACCACUGCCAAAUUAUUGAUCCAGCGCUGUUUCUCUUUGGAACUAGACAUCUGAUUCAUCUUCAGUUACUGUCUCAUUCAAGGCUCGCCUCAAACUCUCGCUGUCACCAUGUUGUUUGUUUUCUCCGCGCAGCAUGAUUGGUAGAAAAUUUUCAGGUUGGGAGGGGGGAUGAACUAGUGAUGCAUUCAUAAGGUGUCGGAUAAACCAUACUCACAGUAAAUUUGACGGCAAAAGUUUAUUUGAACAACAAUUUAUGCUCGAUAGUUGUGAUAGCUGUGACACUUCGCCUUCAGCACGUCAUCACAACAGAGCUUCUCCAUUAUACCAGUUACAACCCGACUUAAGUGCUUUGUACUGAAAAGUAGUGGAAAGAAUCAAAGCAACAUUUCAGGUAUUUACUCCAGGUAACACACUAACCUUUUGGGUGUUUACUUUUGUUGAUUAAAGCCAGUUAAAUUAAGAGGAGCAUAACAGGCUUUAAACAGGAUGAAUUCAAUAUUUAUCUAUCAUGUAAAGCCCUAAAAUAGCAAGAUCAGCUUCAACCUGUUCCACCCAGUGGUGGGUGAA